rnacentral:rRNA from 1 species
CCUACGGGAGGCAGCAGUGGGGAAUAUUGCACAAUGGGCGAAAGCCUGAUGCAGCAACGCCGCGUGAAGGAAGAAGGUUUUCGGCUCGUAAACUUCUAUCAACAGGGACGAAAGAUAUGACUGUACCUUAAUAACAAGCCCCGGCUAACUACGUGCCCGCAGCCGCCGUACUACGUAGGGGGCAAGCGUUAUCCGGAAUUACUGGGUGGAAAGGGUGAGUAGGCGGCAUGGUAAGCCAGCUGUGAAAGCCUUGGGCUUAACCCGAGGAUUGCAUUUGGAACUAGCAAGCUAGAGUACAGGAGAGGAAAGCGGAAUUCCUGGUGUAGCGGUGAAAUGCGUAGAUAUUAGGAAGAACACCAGAGGCGAAGGCGGCUUUCUGGACUGAAACUGACGCUGAGGCACGAAAGCGUGGGGAGCGAACAGGAUUAGAUACCCGAGUAGUC